GACGAACCGAGCGAACGUUGUUCGGAAUCACUGGGCUUAAAGGGCGCGUAGGCGGGCUGUCAAGUCUGGGGUGAAAUCCCGCGGCUCAACCGCGGAACGGCCUCAGAUACUGACGGUCUCGAGGGGGAUAGGGGCGAGCGGAACUGAUGGUGGAGCGGUGAAAUGCGUUGAUAUCAUCAGGAACUCCGGUGGCGAAGGCGGCUCGCUGGAUCCCUUCUGACGCUGAGGCGCGAAAGCCAGGGGAGCAAACGGG
rnacentral:rRNA from 1 species